GAGCGUGGCGGCGUGCUUACACAUGCAAGUCGAACGAUGAUCCCAGCUUGCUGGGGGAUUAGUGGCGAACGGGUGAGUAACACGUGAGUAACCUGCCCUUGACUCUGGGAUAAGCCUGGGAAACUGGGUCUAAUACCGGAUACGACCAUUCCACGCAUGUGGUGGUGGUGGAAAGCUUUUGUGGUUUUGGAUGGACUCGCGGCCUAUCAGCUUGUUGGUGGGGUAAUGGCCUACCAAGGCGACGACGGGUAGCCGGCCUGAGAGGGUGACCGGCCACACUGGGACUGAGACACGGCCCAGACUCCUACGGGAGGCAGCAGUGGGGAAUAUUGCACAAUGGGCGCAAGCCUGAUGCAGCGACGCCGCGUGAGGGAUGACGGCCUUCGGGUUGUAAACCUCUUUCAGUAGGGAAGAAGCGAAAGUGACGGUACCUGCAGAAGAAGCGCCGGCUAACUACGUGCCAGCAGCCGCGGUAAUACGUAGGGCGCAAGCGUUAUCCGGAAUUAUUGGGCGUAAAGAGCUCGUAGGCGGUUUGUCGCGUCUGCUGUGAAAGACCGGGGCUCAACUCCGGUUCUGCAGUGGGUACGGGCAGACUAGAGUGCAGUAGGGGAGACUGGAAUUCCUGGUGUAGCGGUGAAAUGCGCAGAUAUCAGGAGGAACACCGAUGGCGAAGGCAGGUCUCUGGGCUGUAACUGACGCUGAGGAGCGAAAGCAUGGGGAGCGAACAGGAUUAGAUACCCUGGUAGUCCAUGCCGUAAACGUUGGGCACUAGGUGUGGGGGACAUUCCACGUUUUCCGCGCCGUAGCUAACGCAUUAAGUGCCCCGCCUGGGGAGUACGGCCGCAAGGCUAAAACUCAAAGGAAUUGACGGGGGCCCGCACAAGCGGCGGAGCAUGCGGAUU
rnacentral:rRNA from 1 species